rnacentral:rRNA from 1 species
UACGGGGGGGGCAAGCGUUGUUCGGAAUUACUGGGCGUAAAGGGCUCGUAGGUGGCCAACUAAGUCAGACGUGAAAGCCCUCAGCUCAACUGAGGAAGUGCGCCCGAAACUGCAGAGCUUGAGUACCGGAGAGGAUGGCGGAAUUCCCCAAGUAGAGGUGAAAUUCGUAGAUAUGGGGAGGAACACCGGUGGCGAAGGCGGCCAUCUGGACGGAUACUGACGCUGAGACGCGAAAGCGUGGGGAGCAAACAGG